GCUGGCGGCGUGCNUAAUACAUGCAAGUCGAGCGGACCRRAUCGGAGCUUGCUCUGNUUUGGUCAGCGGCGGACGGGUGAGUAACACGUGGGCAACCUGCCCGCAAGACCGGGAUAACUCCGGGAAACCGGAGCUAAUACCGGAUAACACCGAAGACCGCAUGGUCUUUGGUUGAAAGGCGGCCUUUGGCUGUCACUUGCGGANGGGCCCGCGGCGCAUUAGCUAGUUGGUGAGGUAACGGCUCACCAAGGCGACGAUGCGUAGCCGGCCUGAGAGGGUGACCGGCCACACUGGGACUGAGACACGGCCCAGACUCCUACGGGAGGCAGCAGUAGGGAAUCUUCCGCAAUGGGCGAAAGCCUGACGGAGCGACGCCGCGUGAGCGAAGAAGGCCUUCGGGUCGUAAAGCUCUGUUGUGAGGGACGAAGGAGCGCCGUUCGAAGAGGGCGGCGCGGUGACGGUACCUCACGAGGAAGCCCCGGCUAACUACGUGCCAGCAGCCGCGGUAUACGUAGGGGCGAGCGUUU
rnacentral:rRNA from 1 species